CCAGCAGCUGCGGUAAUUCCAACUCCAAUAGCGUAUACUAAAGUUGUUGCAGUUAAAAAGCUCGUAGUUGAAUUUCUGGUCUCGAGACGCGGCCAGCCUCAAGGGGCGAUGCUGUGGAUCGGGACCAUCCUCGAGGAGAACAUAUCUGUCAUUGAGUUGAUGGGUAUGGGACCCUCGUCAUUUACUGUGAGCAAAAUAGAGUGUUCAAAGCAGGCUUACGCCGUUGAAUACAUUAGCAUGGAAUAAUAAGAUAGGACCUUGGUCUAUUUUGUUGGUUAUACUCCGAGGUAAUGAUUAAUAGGGACAGUUGGGGGUAUUCGUAUUCAAUUGUCAGAGGUGAAAUUCUUGGA
rnacentral:rRNA from 1 species